rnacentral:rRNA from 1 species
GAUAAACGCUGGCGGCGCACAUAGGACAUGCAAGUCGAACGAACCAAAUACAUUGUUUACAUUGUAAGAGGUUAGUGGCGGACUGGUGAGUAACACGUAAGCAACCUGCCUACAAGAGGGGAAUAACAUUGAGAAAUCAAUGCUAAUACCGUAUAAGCUGUUAAUAUUGCAUGAUAUAUACAGAAAAGGAGUAAUCCGCUUGUAGAUGGGCUUGCGUCUGAUUAGCUAGUUGGUAGGGUAGAGGCCUACCAAGGCGACGAUCAGUAGCCGGACUGAGAGGUUGAACGGCCACAUUGGGACUGAGAUACGGCCCAGACUCCUACGGGAGGCAGCAGUCGGGAAUAUUGCGCAAUGGAGGGAACUCUGACGCAGUGACGCCGCGUAUAGGAA